UGAAAUUAAUGUAUGAAUUGAGGUUUAAUUUAGCUUUGUAUGUAGUUGAGGUAAAAUUUGUGCCAGCAGCCGCGGUUAUACUGGUAUGGCAAAUGAAAGGGAGUUGGGUUGAUAGUUAUUUGAUUAAGAAUGAUGGUUAAAGGGGAUUAAGUUAAUAAUAGGUGGAAUUAUAGUUUAUUGAAAUCUUUUUUGUCCAUUACUGUCGUUGAAGCUGUGGAGACUUAAAUUUAAAAUAGGAUUAGAUACCCUAGUAUAUUUUGUAUUAAUUUAUAAACGCUUGAUUAGUAUUAGUUAUGUUCUUGAAAUUUAAAGAAUUUGGCGGCACUUUAGCCCGGUUAGAGGAACCUGUUUUCGAAACGAUAAACCACGAAAUAUCUUGCUUUCUUUUGUUUUUCAGUAUGUAUACCGUCAUUAAUAAACAAUUUUGAAAGAAGUUAGUUGAUAUGGGCUAUUGUGUUCAUUAAAUUAGAUCAAGGUGCAGCUAAUGGGAAAGUGGAGAUGGGUUACAAUAAUUUGAAAUUAAACGGAUUAUAAAAGUAAGUUUUUAUAUAAAGGUGGAUUUAACAGUAAAUCGAUAAUAAUAAGUUUUGUUGAUGGUGGUUCUGAGGUGUGCACACAUCGCCCGUCGCUCUCAUGGAAUAUGAGAUAAGUCGUAACAGAGUAGGUGUACUGGAAAGUGCUCCUAGUAUUAAAGGUAAUU
rnacentral:rRNA from 1 species